GAUUCUAACUUAGCUAAGCAAUGCUACUGGAGACCAUAGGCAAAGCCAAGGUACAGCUUCAGGGAACUCUUUGGUGACCCCAUCUCUCAUUACCAAGGUAACGAAGCGCAGACUCCGGGCCUGGGUGGGCGGCAUCACCACCAGGUUCACGCCGAGAAGGAGCUGGAGGAGAGCCGCCCGGCUCCAGCCGGACCGCUUGCCCGCCAUCACCGUUGUAAUCUAUGCAGCAAAAAAGCUGGAACCCGCUGGGUGGCACCUGCAAGCAGCCGCCCGGACGCACCCACUCUGCGGUGGAGCUGUGGAAGCCAGGCGCACAGGAUGCAAGCAGCCAGGCCCAGGGAGGCAGCAGCUGCAUCCUCAGAGAGGAAGCCAGGAUGCCCCACUCUGCCGGGGGUACUGCAGGGGUGGGGCUGGAGGCUGCAGAGCCCACAGCCCUGCUCACCAGGGCAGAGCCCCCUUCAGAACCCACAGAGAUCCGUCCACUAAAGCGGAAAAAGGGGCCAGCCCCCAAAAUGCUGGGGAACGAGCUAUGCAGCGUGUGUGGGGACAAGGCCUCUGGCUUCCACUAC
rnacentral:sRNA from 1 species